rnacentral:rRNA from 1 species
GACGAACGCUGGCGGCGUGCUUAACACAUGCAAGUCGAACGGAAAGGCCCUGCUUUUGUGGGGUGCUCGAGUGGCGAACGGGUGAGUAACACGUGAGUAACCUGCCCUUGACUUUGGGAUAACUUCAGGAAACUGGGGCUAAUACCGGAUAGGAGCUCCUGCUGCAUGGUGGGGGUUGGAAAGUUUCGGCGGUUGGGGAUGGACUCGCGGCUUAUCAGCUUGUUGGUGGGGUAGUGGCUUACCAAGGCUUUGACGGGUAGCCGGCCUGAGAGGGUGACCGGCCACAUUGGGACUGAGAUACGGCCCAGACUCCUACGGGAGGCAGCAGUGGGGAAUAUUGCACAAUGGGCGGAAGCCUGAUGCAGCAACGCCGCGUGCGGGAUGACGGCCUUCGGGUUGUAAACCGCUUUCGCCUGUGACGAAGCGUG